UUUGGCGGUUGCAUUGCCCUUUUAAUCUGUCUUCCUUCAUCCCAUAAUGUGGGCGAGAAUGUUUAUUUCAGAUACCAUGAUUAAGCUUCCAAGAUUCUUCUUCCUCUUAUAGGCUAUAGCAUUAGAGAAGGGGGAAAACUUAAGUUGCGGACUUGCUUCACACUUGGGUGAAAAUAUCAAUGUCAAUGUGCUCAAGGUUGGCAAGAUAGUAUGGUUCACUUCGGGAAAAUGAGUUUUAUUAGCGCCUCCUCUUUUUCCCUCUACAGCUCAAAAUCAUGUACAAGUUACCUGAAAGAUACAAACUAUAUUAUCUCAGUUUCGUUAAAAGAUUGUACCUGAAAUGAUCAAAAUGGUCCUUAAUGUAUAGGGGUUGGAAUGUUUUGGUCCUUGAUAUAUACCACUUAACAGGAAUAGUCCUUAAUGUAUACAAAAGGUGAUAACUUUGGUCCUCAACCCUAAAACUAACAGUAGAAAACAAAAAAAUUCUGUUGAACUUAACCCCAAUCCCUCAAAAGCAAAGUCUGGCAGACCCCUUUCCCCCUCCUCUUCUAUCUUUUGCCGUGCCAAGCUCUCAAUAAAAAGACCCAGUCCCAGCUCGCAUCUCUUCUACCAUUUUUGUUACUACCAAAGCAUCUAUUUCAAACAACCAAAGCUUUUGCACAUGAUUGAUAUGUUGAAUGGAAGAAAAUAUCCAGAACAAGAGUGAACCCAUAUGAUAUAUCCUUGUAUUUAAAGAUCAAAACUUGUUUUUGCUCAGCAGCUACGAAGCAACUUGGACAAGACGAUUUUAACUGUCCCUGUUGGCCUUGUGGCGAUUGCUCUUUCUAUCAAUCUUUGCCAAUAUGAAAUCUUGUCAAGCAACAUUACUGAUUGCAUAUAACGAAUUGGCCCAUCACCUCUUCUUCGACUAUAUUACUAGUCCUAUAAUGGCUAGAAUUUUCUGGUUCACCAUUAUUCUGCUUCUUUGAAUCUUUCCCAGCAAGAAAACAAUUCAAAUUUCAUCAAGAUACAAAUCAAAAGUUUAGAAUUUUGUAGCACAUAGAAAACUUUUCUCUUAAGAUUUAAUGAAAUUAAAUUGGUUUUCCAAACUUGGCAUACUAUAGAGAAUAUAUUUCUCAAUCCAUCGCUCAAGCAUUAGAUUCAAGUCUAUGUAUCUCCGGUUGCAAAAUUAUAAAUCAAACUAAAAUUUUAACAAAUGAAGUGAUUAAAACAGAUUCGCAAGUAAAUUCAAACAAGAAAAAAAGGAUUUCCAUUUAUAAAAUCCAUAAGAUUAACAAGCAAAACAAUUUAGCUUCCCAAGCAGAUCCAUUCUUGUUUGAGAGAGGGUUUGGAUUUAGGAUCGUUAAUGGUGAAUGAGAGAAGAGGAGGAGGGAGUCGGGAGAGAUUGGGGUGAAGUUUAACAGAAUUUUUUGUUUUUUACAGUUAGUUUUAAGGUUGAGGACCAAAGCUAUCACCUUUUGUAUACAUUAAGGACUAUUCCUAUUUAGUGGUAUAUAUCAAGGACCAAAAUAUUCCAAUCCCUAUACAAUAAGGACCAUUUUGAUCAUUUUCUCAUACAAGACUGUAGGAUGAUAAAUGGUACAUAAAUUAUUUUGGAGUA